rnacentral:rRNA from 1 species
GGGAAGUUAAGGUGCUCAGGGUCUUACCGUCGGGCCGUAUGAUUCCACAUAUUCAUGGAUAAUUCUAUUUAUUAGGAGUCUCACACUAGCGACAAUGGGGAAGUCGUUACACCGUUCAUGCAGGACGGAGAUUACCCGACAAGGAAUUUUGCUACCUUAGGACCGUUUAUGAUACAGCCGCCGUUUAUC